UUCUCCUUAUAUGUAUAAUAUUUUGAGGAGAUAUUUUGUAAAAAAUCAAUUGGAGAAUUUAUUUACUAUAAAAAAAUAUGGAAAGAGGCAUCCCAUAUUUUUUUGACAUAUUUUGGGAUAUGAAAUUGUGAAGAGAGAUGACAUCUUAUAAGAGUCCAUGAUCUCUAGGACUCUUCACCAUUAUUUCUUACAUGCCUAUAAAAAGAGAUUUUUAUUUUUGUUUUGUAUGUGUAAGAG
rnacentral:lncRNA from 1 species